AGUGAAUCAUCGAAUCUUUGAACGCACCUUGCGCCCCUUGGUAUUCCGAGGGGCAUGCCUGUUUGAGUGUCAUU
rnacentral:rRNA from 1 species